UGCAAGUCGAACGAUGAAGUUCCUUCGGGAAUGGAUUAGUGGCGAACGGGUGAGGAACACGUGAGAAACCUGCCUUUCAUUCUGGGAUAACACCGGGAAACCGGCGCUAAUACCGGAUACUCCAUCUUGGCGGCAUCGCCGAGCUGGGAAAAAAUUUUGAUGAAAGAUGGUCUCGCGGCCCAUCAGCUAGUUGGUGAGGUAAAGGCUCACCAAGGCGACGACGGGUAGCCGGCCUGAGAGGGCGACCGGCCACACUGGGACUGAGACACGGCCCAGACUCC
rnacentral:rRNA from 2 species